UCAAGUUAUUAAGGGUGCAGGGCGGAUGCCUUGGCACUAGGAGCCGAUGAAGGACGUGAUAAGCUGCGAUAAGCUUCGGGGAGUUGCACGUAAACUUUGAUCCGAAGAUUUCCGAAUGAGGAAACUCACUUAGAGUAAUGUCUAAGUAUCAUUAAGUGAAUACAUAGCUUAAUGAGGGGAACUCAGGGAACUGAAACAUCUAAGUACCUGAAGGAAGAGAAAGAAAUUCGAUUCCGUAAGUAGCGGCGAGCGAACGCGGAUUAGCCCAAACCAAUAAAGUUUUCUUUAUUGGGGUUGCGGACAUAUCAUAACGAAGAGGUAUCGUAAUUGAAGAGGUUUGGAAAGACCCACCACAGAAGGUAAUAGUCCUGUAUGUUAAACGAGAAGACUUUAGAUAUGAUCCAGAGUACCACGGGACACGUGAAACCCUGUGGGAAGCAGGAGGGACCACCCUCCAAGGCUAAAUACUACCUAGUGACCGAUAGCGUAUAGUACCGUGAGGGAAAGGUGAAAAGAACCCCGGGAGGGGAGUGAAAUAGAACCUGAAACCCUGCACUUACAAGCUGUGGAAGCACAUUUCUUGUGUGACCGCGUACUUUUUGUAGAACGGGCCAACGAGUUACGUUAAGUAGCAAGGUUAAGCACUUAAGGUGUGGAGCCGUAGCGAAAGCGAGUUUUAACUGAGCGUUCAGUUACUUGACGUAGACCCGAAACCGGGCGACCUACCCAUGAGCAGGAUGAAGCGAAAGUAAAAUUUCGUGGAGGUCCGAACCCACGAGCGUUGAAAAGCUCGGGGAUGACUUGUGGGUAGCGGUGAAAUUCCAAUCGAGCCCGGAGAUAGCUGGUUCUCCCCGAAAUAGCUUUAGGGCUAGCCUCAAGGUGAGAGAUACGGAGGUAGAGCACUGAAUGUCCUAGGGGGUAUUGCACCUACCGAAGACUAUCAAACUCCGAAUGCCGUCAUCUUAUACUUGGGAGUCAGACUGUGGGUGAUAAGAUUCAUAGUCGAAAGGGCAACAGCCCAGAUCGUCAGCUAAGGUCCCUAAAUGUAAGUUAAGUGGUAAAGGAUGUGGGAUUGCACAGACAACCAGGAUGUUGGCUUAGAAGCAGCCACUCAUUCAAAGAGUGCGUAAUAGCUCACUGGUCGAGUGAUCCUGCGCCGAAGAUUUCCGGGGCUAAAACUUACUACCGAAGCUACGGCAUCAGUAAUGAUGGGUAGGGGAGCUUCCCAUACGGGUUGAAGCAUGACCGUAAGGACAUGUGGACAGUAUGGGAGUGAGAAUGUUGGCAUGAGUAGCGAGAUGUGGGUGAGAAUCCCACAGGCCGUAAACCCAAGGUUUCCAGGGGAAGGUUCGUCCGCCCUGGGUUAGUCGGGACCUAAGCUGAGGCCGAAAGGCGUAGGUGAUGGACAACAGGUUGAUAUUCCUGUACUACCGAUAACCGUUUGAGAGAAGGGAUGACACAGUAGGAUAAGCUAAGCACACUGUUGGUUAUGUGUGCCCAAGCAUUGAGGCAGUCAAAGUAGGCAAAUCCGCUUUGAUAAUGCUAGGAUGUGAUGGGGAGCGAAAUUUAGUAGCGAAGUAGCUGAUUUCACACUGUCAAGAAAAGUCUCUAUCGAGGUUAAAGGUACCCGUACCGCAAACCGACACAGGUGGGUGAGGAGAGUAUCCUAAGGCCAGCGAGAGAACUGUUGUUAAGGAACUCGGCAAAAUGACCCCGUAACUUAGGGAUAAGGGGUGCCACCAUCAGGUGGCCGCAGAGAAUAGGCCCAAGCGACUGUUUACCAAAAACAUAGGUUUCUGCUAAGUCGCAAGACGAUGUAUAGGAGCUGACGCCUGCCCGGUGCUGGAAGGUUAAGGGGAUCUGUUAGAGCAAUCGAAGCAGUGAACUUAAGCCCCAGUAAACGGCGGCCGUAACUAUAACGGUCCUAAGGUAGCGAAAUUCCUUGUCGGGUAAGUUCCGACCCGCACGAAAGGCGUAACGAUUUGGGCACUGUCUCAACAACAGACUCGGUGAAAUUGUAAUUCCGGUGAAGAUGCCGGAUACCUGCGACAGGACGGAAAGACCCCAUGGAGCUUUACUGUAGCUUGACAUUGGGUCUUGGUACUACAUGUACAGGAUAGGUGGGAGGCUUUGAAACCAGGACGCCAGUUUUGGCGGAGCCAUCCUUGGGAUACCACCCUUGUAGUACUGGGACUCUAACCAUAGGCCAUGAAUCUGGUCUUGGGACACUGUCAGGUGGGCAGUUUGACUGGGGCGGUCGCCUCCCAAAAGGUAACGGAGGCGCUCAAAGGUUCUCUCAGUACGGUCGGAAAUCGUACGUAGAGUGUAAAGGCAAAAGAGAGCUUGAUUGCAAGACAUACAGGUCGAGCAAGGAUGAAAAUCGGACUUAGUGAUCCGGUGGUUCUGCGUGGAAGGGCCAUCGCUCAACGGAUAAAAGCUACCCUGGGGAUAACAGGCUUAUCUCCCCCAAGAGUCCACAUCGACGGGGAGGUUUGGCACCUCGAUGUCGGCUCAUCACAUCCUGGGGCUGUAGUAGGUCCCAAGGGUUGGGCUGUUCGCCCAUUAAAGUGGUACGCGAGCUGGG
rnacentral:rRNA from 1 species